rnacentral:sRNA from 1 species
ACGGCCUUUUUUCCCUUACUAGCAUUAUUUUUCCUACCAGCUUCCUGAGAGAAUAACUGAUAUCAGGUUCAAAAUUCUAAACAUACUAGUUAUCCAUAUCUGCCAUUAACUUCUGGCUGGCUGUUGUCAUUAGAAACCCGGUGCCGUUCUUGCUUAUUGCCGCCUGACAACAUGUGUUUAGUAACUAACCAGUUAGAUCCAUCUCGGAUCGAGAAUUGAAUCGACAUAGAUAUUAACAUGACGAACAGUUGAACGGCGGAGGCAAGCAGAAGGCUGGAUUUAGUUUGGAAGACCCUUAGUAAUUGUGAUAAGGGGUUUGGAGCGAUGGCGGAAUAUUGGGAAUGAGACUGGCUGGGGGGGGGGCCAAUGGUGUAUAUGGUUUGAAAACAAUUCUAUAAUAGCUAUUAUUUAUUUGCGUGUCUAUUUUCUCUUUCUCAGCCUAUCAUAUUUGGAGAGAUGGGACACUCCGAAUCGUGCAUGGUCAGACAGUAUCUCGUUAUUCAGAAUUUCUCGUGCUAGAGAAACGCGGAUAAUCUGAUGGCAAGCAUGAUUAUAUGUAACAGAAUUCUGUUAUUUUAUAUGAGGAUUGGUCAAAGAACUGCCAAGAUCUCGUCGACCCUCUUCCGAACCCGCUUCAGCUCACCACUAUGCUGGUUAAACACGUGCAUG